AGCAGAUUGGGACCUCACUCUUAAUAAAUGGAGUCAAAUGGUGUUUUUGUGUUUACUCACCUAAAUAAAGACCCUGAGAUUGAAAGAAACUUCCAGAAUUCUGCCCACAGAGUGAUGUAGCUAGAGCUUUCCAUUUCCCCGGUUUAAUAUGGAUCAAAUGACGGCAUGGCCCACAUGGAGGAAGAACAGGCAUUUUUAAUGCGAAAUGGCGGACGGUGGAGGAGGCAAGGACAGAGAAAUUUGACACUGCGCAUUCGGAACGGCCUCGUGGCUAUGAGAAAGACGCGGAGCCGGAUCAAGGACUGGAUUCUUGCAUGUGUAAAUCCCUGACCAUACAUGGGCCUGGCUGAGGGAGAGAGAGGGGAGAGGAGGUGACUUCAAGAGGAAGUGAGCGAGAGAGAGAGCAAGAGAGAGAGAGAGAGAGAGAGAGAGAGAGGCCUGCAGGACUGUACCACCUCUACAGGAAUUCAGAGUUUGAACUGUUGUCACAUAAAGAAACUGGCGGGAAAUGCUUCCUUUGUGUAUUCUGUAAGCGGAGGGGUGAACAAACUGAACUCAGAUUUCCACAUGCUAACCAAUAUGAAUAACUCAUUACUAACAUUAGAGAGCAUGAAUGAUAAAAACUACUUCCUGAGGUUAGUUAAUCACUGAACACAACAUUGUAGAUGCCAUAGUUUGACUUGUUGAAGGGAAUGUUGAAAUGGAACUUACAAGGUAAAAUGUUCAAAGUUAAAAUGGUUAUAGUGCAUCUAGCAUUUAUCUUUCACUGUUUUCAUUAACUGAAUUGAGAAAACACAAAACAUUGCUUCUAAAUAAAAGGUACAUGUCUCCAUUGGGAGUUGUUUUAGAUUAAGUUGUUUCAGAUUGAAUGUUUGCAAAGUAUAACAAUACUGCAACUGUGGAAAGGUGACGUUCUUUCUGACUGUGUUUUAUCUGGCAGCUGAUUAACUGAUGAAGAAUGUUUGUUUGCUCCACCCUUUAAAGUAGUAGAAUAGAAAACCUCACCAGUUAAACAUAACGGCCAUUCAAUAAAAGCUAUGAAAUGAGAACAGGAAAAACACUUUCACAUAAAAUUGUAACCUUAGUUAGCAAUCACAAAGACACUGACAUAAUAAACAACAACUACCAGUCGUUACUCUGGUGAGGUUUCCUCUCUGCUCCAAACAAGAGCUUGUGAAACCAUGACGCAGUGAGGCGAGGCGGCAGCAGGAAAUGCAGUUGAGAGGUUUUGUCAGCUCCUUUUAGCUUGCCUAAUUGACCUGCAUUGCCCUUGGCUCAUCUCCCUGGCAGGAUAGAGUACAGUAGCGAUACAACUGGCAACGGACGGGAACCAGCACUGUGACCUUUACUCCUAGUGUGAUGGAUGAUGCUCACUGCUCAUUGGUCGGUUCUGUGAUGAAUGGAUUUAGUCCUGAUGUGAGAGAUCAAACCUACUGUACAUUACCAGCAAUUAAAACUCAGCCUGUUUCUCUCCAGACUACGUCGAAUACAGGGGUAAACGUUAUUCCUCCUUACCAUGUCUGAGCAGGGUGACCCACAUCCUCUCUCAUUAUGUCACUGUGAAGAUGCAAGUGAAGAUGCUCUUCACUUGAAACAGUUAUUUAUUCACACAGGGUUACAGAGAGAAAUGGAGAAAUGGGGAGCAAGGAAUGUAUGCAAUCUGUGUGUUAUUAGAGCACUAAGUGUAUGUCUCAACCUGCCAUUUCAAUUUUUCUGAGCUUCAGUGCACACAAUUUUAGUCAGCAUAUUGUGCUACAGUGUUACAGUCAUUUGUGUAAACACUCCUCGGGGGUGUUGUGUCAUACACAAUCAGUCAUUCACA